UGCAUGGCCUUACUUUGAAAGUCCUUCUCUUGACAGGCUAAAUAUACGAUUCCACUUUAUGACUAGACAGUCGUUAAAGGUCACUUCCUUCCCUCAUAUUGAUUUUUCUUGGUUUAUUUUAAUAUGAAAACUUCAGCCAGGAGGGAACACAGGUUAUGGAAUUUUUCAUUUCAAAUAAUUUGAACCCCAACUUCACUGGUGUGGGAGCAUGAGAAAUUGCACUUUCUAUGCUUUGAUUUUUUUUUCUUUCCUCUCUCAAAUAGGCAUACUCAAUGAAUCAAUGGCACCGGGAGACUGACAGACAAGGUGAGGGACUGGUAACAGUACUGCUUAUCACGCCAUCAUUCAACCCCAUGGGAAGGGCCCAGAGGAACAAAACUCUUGGAAUCUCUGAUGCUGGAAAUCUGGACACUUCCCUCUAGUUUGGUCUGGGUUGCCUGCCGCGAUCAGUAAGCAUGCAGCGUCAGUCCGUUCUUGAGGCACAGAUUCUGCAAUCUGUGGUUUCUGAGUUACUUCCAUGCAGUAAGUUUAGAAUAAUCCUGGAUCAACCUUUCUGCCUUCUAGAUCAUCCCCUUCUAUCCUGAUCCCCUGACUCAAUGAAGAGAUACACUCUUCCCUUCCCAGGAGGCCGAACCAGUUUGGGGAAGCCCUGGAUGGCGCUGACAUAGUUCCUGCCAGAUUUCAAGCAAAUGAAAUAGAUGUUGUACUCAUGUUGACCAGAGCUGCAUUUGGGAGCUUCCAGACUCCUGAUGCCAGGACUCCUUCCUUCUUGGGUAGCCCUGGGGUAGAACAGAUAACAUGGUAAUAGCCUAAUUCUUUAAGAUUGCAGUGUAUAUGGAGACCAGCUGAGAUAUCCAACCUUGUGGACUGAACAACUCCUGGAUUUUUGAACCUUCCAUUCAUAGGCAGCCAUUGUUGGAUUAGCUGGACCACAGCCACAGCCUCCCUGUCUCUCCUGAAACUCGGUCUAUAGACCAGGAGACCCACCUACCUCUGCCUCUGGAGUUCUGAGAUUAGAGGUGUGUGCCAUCACGGAGCAGCAACAACAGGGUGAUAAAAACCCAGUCACUUUAAGUAAUCCUUUUCUGGGACUGACUGUACAGAAGUGGUGUUUUAAUAUUGUCAGCAUGUGUCUGUGUACACCAACAGUUCUACCAAGUGGAGAUGAAAAGAGUUAAUCUUUCAGGUCGGAUCCGUUGUAAAAUUCUGCAAGCAGAAGAAUUAGGACAGGAAAAACACACCUGCCGACGUGGAGCUGUCCGCGGUCCUGAAAAGGAUGCUCGCCCGUAAGGCAAUAAUGAGCUUAUCAAAGAACAUGGAAAGGCAGAAAUGCCUGUGUUAAUAAAGAUCUUACUGCUAUUCCCUGGGUCUUUAAAGUAAUUAAGCAUCCUCUCUCCCACUGCUGAGUGUGAGGAUUAUUAAACAGACCAAGCCAGCGCUAACUUGAACGUGUGGGCAGAUUUGCUCAAAUGUCUCUACUACCAUACUCCUGAAAAACUCCUCACUUUUAUCCAAGUUGAGCCUGAGCACUCUGCAAAGAGAAGCCUUCUGGAUAUCUGAAGCCUUCUGGAUGUCUGAAGCCUUCUGGAUGUCUGAAGCCUUCUGGAUGUCUGAAGCCUUCUGGAUGUCUGAAGCCUUCUAGAUGUCUGAAGCCUUCUGAAUGUCUGAAUCCUUCUGGAUAUCUGAAGCCUUCUGGAUGUCUGAAGCCUUCUGGAUGUCUGAAGGAUCAGUCGUUGGAGCAGACAAUGUAAGAUGUGAAUUCCUAAGCCAACACAGAGUCUGGGCUCAUGUAGCUCCCAAGACUGGAGUAAAAUGUAGGAAGGUAGAAACAUUAGUUUUCUUUUGAUUUUUUUUUUUUUUUUGA